rnacentral:rRNA from 1 species
AUUGAACGCUGGCGGAAUGCUUUACACAUGCAAGUCGAACGGCAGCACGGGGGCAACCCUGGUGGCGAGUGGCGAACGGGUGAGUAAUACAUCGGAACGUGCCCGGUCGUGGGGGAUAACGUAGCGAAAGUUACGCUAAUACCGCAUACGAGCUGAGGAUGAAACCGGGGGAGCUUCGGGCCUCGCGCGCUCGGAGCGGCCGACGUCAGAUUAGGUAGUUGGUGGGGUAAAGGCCUACCAAGCCGACGAUCGGUAGCUGGUCUGAGAGGACGACCAGCCACACUGGGAGUGAGACACGGCCCAGACUCCUACGGGAGGCAGCAGUGGGGAAUUUUGGACAAUGGGGGCAAGCCUGAUCCAGCCAUCCCGCGUGCAGGACGAAGGCCUUCGGGUUGUAAACUGCUUUUGUAUGGAACGAAAAGGCUCUGGCUAAUACCUGGGGCUCAUGACGGUACCGUAAGAAUAAGCACCGGCUAACUACGUG